rnacentral:rRNA from 1 species
GAGUAAAGAUUUCGGUCGCUUUGGGAGGAGCUCGCUUACUAUCAGCUUGUUGGUAGGGUAAUGGCCUACCAAGGCUAUGACGGUUAGGGGGUGUGAGAGCAUGACCCCCAGCAUUGGCACUGAAACACUGGCCAAACACCUACGGGUGGCUGCAGUCGAGAAUCUUCCACAAUGGGGGAAACCCUGAUGGAGCGAUGCUGCGUGCGGGAUGAAGGCCUUCGGGUUGUAAACCGCUUUUGUAGGGGACGAAAUUUUUGACGGUACCCUUUCGAAUAAGAGGUUGCUAACUCUGUGCCAGCAGCAGCGGUAAUACAGAGACCUCAAGCGUUAUCCGGAUUUACUGGGCGUAAAGCGUCUGUAGGGGGUUUAUUAAGUUCCAAGUAAAAUUUCAAGGCUCAACUUUGAAUUCGCUUGGAAAACUAAUAAACUGGAGUCUAGCAGAGGUGCAUGGAACUUGCGGUGUAGGAGUGAAAUCCGUUGAUAUCACAAGGAACACCAAAGGCGAAGGCAUUGCACUGGGCUAGCACUGACCCUGAGAGACGAAAGCGUGGGGAGCAAAACGGAUUAGAUACCCGUGUAGUCCACGCCCUAAACGAUGAAUGCUAAAUGUUCGGGGAUUCGACCCCCUGGGUGUUACAGCUAACGCGUUAAGCAUUCCGCCUGGGAAGUACGGCCGCAAGGCUAAAACUCAAAGGAAUAGACGGGGAUCCGCACAAGCGGUGGAGCGUCUGGUUUAAUUCGACAGUAAGCGUGGUACCUCACCAGGGUUUGACAUCCCUUGACAGCCUUGGAAACAAGGUUUCCUUCGGGCAAGGUGACAGGUGCUGCAUGGUCGUCGUCAGUUCGUGCCGUGAGGUGUUCCGUUAAGUCGGGAAACGAACGAAACCCCUAUUGCAUGUUACAAUUUCUCAUGCAAGACUGCCCGGAUAUACUGGGAGGAAGGUGGGGAUGACGUCAGAUCUGCAUGGUCCUUAUACCCUGGGCGACACAGGCGCUACAAUGGCAGAGACAAAGGGUUGCAAAACCGCAAGGUGAAGCUAAUCCCAAAAACUUUGUCUAAGUUCGGAUUGAAGGCUGCAAUUCGCCUUCAUGAAGCUGGAAUCGCUAGUAAUCGUGAAUCAGCCACGUCACGGUGAAUAUGUUCCCGGAUCUUGUACUCACCGCCCGUCACACCAAGAGAGUUGGUAGCUCCCGAAGCGUUCCGUUUUAGCGGGGCAUCACGGAGAGAUCAGCGAUAGGGGUGAAGUCGUA